rnacentral:lncRNA from 1 species
GGUCCUCACCUGGGGGGGAAAAACAUAAAAAUAAUGAGAAAUUUCGUUAUUUAGUCUGAAAGAUAUUGUUUUGGGGAAAAAAAUCUGAAUUUAGGGCAAAAAUUCCUCACUUCCGGCUAAAUUUCCUCAUCUGGGGCAAAAUUUCCUCAUUUGGGGCAAAAUUUCCUUAUUUGGGGCAAAAUCCCCAAUCUCAAAGUUGAGAUUCCCUCAUUUGAAGCCCAAAUCCUGUCAGUUGAGGCCAAAUUCCCCAAUUUUUACCUCAAAGUUCCUCAUUUGAAGCCCCAAUCCUUUCAUUUAAGACCAAAUCCCUUCACUCUUACCUCAAAAUCCCUCAUUUGAGACCCAAAUCCUCUCACUAGAGACCAAAACCACCAAUUUUUACCUCAGAUUUCCUCAUUUGAGGCCUAAAUCCUAUCACUUGAGCCCAAAUUCCUUCAUUUUUACCUCAAAUUCCCUCACUUGAGGCCCAAAUCCUCUCACUUGAUACCAAAUUCCCCAACUUUUACCUCAAAUUCCCCCAUUUGAGGCCUAAAUACUCUCACUUGAGCCCAAAUCUCUUCACUUUUACCUCAAAUUCCCUCAUUUGAGGCCCAAAUCCUCUCAUUUGAGCCCAAAUCCCUACACUUUUACCUCAAAUUCCGUGACUUGAGGCUCAAAUACUCUCACUUGAAGCCAAAUUCCUUCAUUUUUACCUCAAAUUCCUUCACUUGAAGCCCAAAUGCUCACACUUGAGCCCAAAUCUCUUCACUUUUACCUCAAAUUCCCUCAUUUUCAGCCCCAAAUCCCCUCGUUUGAGGCCAAAUCCCCCCUUUGAAGCCCAAAUCCCCUCAACUGGGCACAAACCCUCAGUUGGGACCCAAAUUCCUUCAUUUUGGCCCCAAUUCCCCUCACUUGACACCCAAAUCACCUCACGUGAGGCCCAAAUCCCCUCAUUUAAAGCCCAAAUUCCCUCAUUUUUCCCCCAAACCUGCCAAUUUGAGGCAAAAUCCCCCUCUCUGAGUCCCAAAUCCCCCCUUUGACACCCAAAUUCUCCAGUUUUGGCCACAAUUCUCCA